rnacentral:rRNA from 1 species
GUGGGGAAUAUUGGACAAUGGGCGAAAGCCUGAUCCAGCCAUGCCGCGUGUGUGAAGAAGGUCUUCGGAUUGUAAAGCACUUUAAGUUGGGAGGAAGGGCAGUAAGUUAAUACCUUGCUGUUUUGACGUUACCGACAGAAUAAGCACCGGCUAACUUCGUGCCAGCAGCCGCGGUAAUACGAAGGGUGCAAGCGUUAAUCGGAAUUACUGGGCGUAAAGCGCGCGUAGGUGGUUUUGUAAGUUGGAGGUGAAAUCCCCGGGCUCAACCUGGGAACUGCCUCCAAAACUGCAUGACUAGAGUACGGUAGAGGGUAGUGGAAUUUCCUGUGUAGCGGUGAAAUGCGUAGAUAUAGGAAGGAACACCAGUGGCGAAGGCGACUACCUGGACUGAUACUGACACUGAGGUGCGAAAGCGUGGGGAGCAAACAGGAUUAGAUACACCUGUAGUCC